GCCCGGGGGGCUCAGUCGGUUGAGCGUCCGACUUCAGCUCAGGUGGUGAUCUCACAGCUCGUGGGUUCGAAACCCGCAUCGGGCU
rfam:Felis catus isolate Cinnamon breed Abyssinian chromosome C1, whole genome shotgun sequence.